ACUGAUGGGCAUAGGGGAUUCGUCCCCUAUGUUAAAGUACAUUGCAGGUCCAAAGUCCUG
rnacentral:ribozyme from 1 species